rnacentral:rRNA from 1 species
UACGUAGGUGGCAAGCGUUGUUCGGAAUUAUUGGGCGUAAAGCGCGCGUAGGCGGCUUCUUAAGUCUGAGGUGAAAGGUUCAACGCUUAACGUGAACAGUGCCUUGGAUACUGGGGAGCUUGAGUGUGGCAGAGGAUAGUGGAAUUCCUGGUGUAGCGGUGAAAUGCGUAGAUAUCAGGAGGAACACCCAUGGCGAAGGCAGCUAUCUGGGCUAACACUGACGCUGAGGUGCGAAAGCGUGGGGAGCGAACGGG